UGGGGUAGAGCAUAUGGAGGCAUUUGGUUCUCAGGCAUGAGCUGAACGCCCCGCUGGGCCUCCCGCGGUAAUAGGGCUAUAAUGUGUGCGCUGUGAUGAGAUUUUAUCUAGUCUUGUCUUUUUGUGUCUUUUCUUUUCUUUUCUCUUCUUUUUUUUUUAGAAUGUGGACAAUGGGAAUUGUGCAGUGGCAGUGGGAUACACCUCCUGGAGCAAUAUGCAAUCUCUCUCUCGCUCUUUCCAUCUCUCCCUCUCCCUCUCUGCAUCUCUCUGUCUGUGUCUGUCUCUCCCUGUCUCCCACACAAAAUCACACACUCACAAUCACACCACACAGAGCUGCAAAAGACACCCCAACCCCAAGCUUCAUGCACACACACCCACACCACACACAGGGAAUACAAUGGCUUCCUAGGACUGUAGACACAUGGACACACUUUUUCACCUGGGAAAUCUCUGGUGCCCCACACCCCCACAACCCAAUCAGGGCGGCUUGCCAGACUGAGGAUUGCAAGGAUGCCCCACCUGCAUUAACAUCUAGAGUUUUAUCUCAGGAAGAGGCUGAUUCCAGAAUAUGUACCGGUCUCGCUGGUUGAUGGUGUCACCUGCAGGUACAGAAGAGAGGACACAGUGAGGCUCAGGUCAUGCUACACAAUGUCUGUAUGCAUGAGCUUUAUUUCCCUCAAGGACUUUAGGAACCCAGAUGGAACACAGUGGUUGAGUCCAACGACCCCAAAGUAAGUGAACUGGAUGCCUUAGGAAGUUGUUUUUCCUGGGGGACAUGUCUGUCCAGUCCAUUCAGGACGGUGACUACAAAAUGCUUCAUCCAAGCAGGAGAAAGUGUUACUGAGGGACAGGAUCCUACCACAGCGUUUAGAACCAUGUUUGGUGUCGCCAAUGGUAAACGACCUCUCGAAUCAGCUAACAGUUGGCAGAGACAACCACUCAAUGCUCUCCCAAAAAGGAAAAUUGUAUGAGAUCUACAUGUAUAAUCUCAAAUAUACAUUGUCUGAUUUUCAUCUGAGUUUGAUUGGAAAGAAACCAAGAAAGCAACAUCUGUUCCUGGGACAAAGAACUUCUAGCUCUCCAUGGCGAGAGGUGUGCCUCCGGCGCUGUCUCCUUUGAUGGGAUCCAGGGCUUCCUCCAAGGCAUCUAGGACACAGAGUACCCGUCAGCACAUUCCUCUUGUUGCUCAAGAAUAUUCAUGGAAUGUUGCUUGAUAUGGACACGAGGCUGGGGUGUAUGGAGCCAGCUGGUUUCCAAGCAUGGACUGAAGUGCCCCUGCUGGGCCACCCACCGCAGGAAGGCUCGAAAGUGUGCAUUGUGAUAACAUGGCUUUGGAGAAGGGUGAUAUCAUGCAGUAUGUGACAUGUCUCCUGGAGAAACACCUUUCUCUCUCUCUCUCUCUGUCUCUCUCUCUAUGUUUCUGUCUUCUCUCUCUCUGUCUCUGUCUUUGUCUCUCUCUCGCUCUCUCUCUCUCACACACACACUCACAAUCACACUACACAAGACACCUAACCCCCAAGCCUCAUGCACACACACCCACACCACCCAGGGGGAGUGCAUUGGUUUCCUAGGACUGGAGACACAUGCACA
ensembl:lncRNA